GGGGGCGACAGGUUUCGACGGGGAUCAGUGAGGUCCAGGCUGCGUCUCGAGGUUUCUCUCCCCUCGUUAAAAAGAGAGAACGGUAUAGCUGCCAACACACAGCUAGCUCUGGCGGCCUAACAUCCGCCAGCGUCGGCCACGUCGCGCCUUCAGGGCGUGGGAACCGGCGUCAUAUUCUGAAGGCUGGCUCCGAACCUGGCCUCAGGGGAGGGGCGAGAUAAAUGAGGCUGGUCCCGUGGACCUCCUGCCGGCUGGAGACUCAGGGGACGAGAGAGCAGGAAGAUAAACCGGCUAUCGACGUAGACGCCUGCGGCUGAGGGUUUCCGGACGUGGGUUCAAUUCCCACCGCCUCCACCA
rfam:Candidatus Rokubacteria bacterium 13_2_20CM_2_64_8 13_2_20cm_2_scaffold_1145, whole genome shotgun sequence.